rnacentral:sRNA from 1 species
UAUUCUGUUGUUGGGUGGCAUGUUCUAUAUUCUGUUGUUGGGUAGAGUGUUCUAUAUUCUGUUGUUGGGUGGAUUGUUCUAUAUUCUGUUGUUGAGUGGCGUGUUCUAUGUUCUCUUGUUGGGUGGCGUGUUCUGUAUUCUCUUGUUGGGUGGCGUGUUCUAUCUUCUGUUGUUGGGCGGCGUGUUCUACAUUCCGUUGUUGGGUGGAGUGUUCUAUAUUCUGUUGUUGGGUGGUGUGUUCUAUGAAACAUCAGGUCAAGUUUGUUAAGGGUUGUUAGUUUAGGUUUUCUAUAUUCUUAAUUUUUUUCUUUUUUUGCUUGUUCAUCAGUUGCUAUGAGAAAGAAGUGUUGAAUUUUUUCAACUAUAAUUGUGAAUUUGCCUGUUUCCCCAUUUAGUCCUGUUGGUUGUUGCUUUAUCUCUUCUCUAAAACUAUAUUUUAACUGACUUCUACUGAUUUUGAAAUGGAUUUUUUCUUUAGGAAAACAAAGUGUUAAAAUGUAAACCAACCAGAGAUAAUUUUAGUGAGCAGUGUUGAAUUGAGCCUUCAAACUUGUUCAUGAGUCGUGAUCAAUCUUUGUCACAUUAUUAUACUAAAAACUAUCUCAGAGAGGAAAUUUAUAGCCAGUUACAGUUUUUUUGUAGUUUGAUUUAAAAGUUAAAUUUAUCACAACGAAUCAUAUAUUUUUAAUGUUACUAUUCCUGUUGUAUAAAAAUUUUACUAACAAAUUUAAAAGGUGAGAAGAAGAGAUCAAAUUAUUUUGCAAUUAUAAAAUUAUCAUUAGUUUAGCCUUUGAGAAUAUAGGUAAUAGAUUAAAAAUUCAUUUUAAAAAUGAUAUAAACUACUUUUGAGACUUCCUCCGUAACUGACCUUUUCCAUUUAUGAAAAGCAGACACUCGCCUAUGGGGACAUGAACCACGAGUGGAUCGGCAACGAGUGGCUCCCCAGCCUGGGCCUCCCCCAGUACCGCAGCUACUUCAUGGAGUGCCUUGUAGACGCCAGGAUGCUGGACCACUUGACCAAGAAAGACCUUCGAGGGCAGCUGAAAAUGGUCGACAGUUUUCACAGAAACAGUUUCCAGUGUGGAAUUAUGUGCCUGAGAAGGUUAAAUUAUGACCGGAAAGAACUGGAAAGAAAAAGAGAAGAAAGUCAGAGUGAAAUAAAAGAUGUGCUUGUUUGGAGCAAUGAUCGAGUGAUUCGCUGGAUCCUGUCAAUUGGCCUUAAAGAAUAUGCAAACAAUCUUAUAGAGAGUGGUGUUCACGGAGCACUUCUGGCCUUAGAUGAAACCUUCGACUUCAGUGCACUGGCACUGCUGUUACAGAUCCCGACGCAGAACACACAGGCCCGUGCUGUCUUGGAAAGAGAAUUUAACAACCUUUUGGUCAUGGGGACUGAUAGAAGGUUUGAUGAAGAUGAUGAUAAAAGCUUUAGGAGAGCACCUUCAUGGAGAAAAAAGUUUAGACCAAAGGACAUUCGUGGCUUAGCUGCUGGGUCAGCAGAGACUCUCCCUGCAAACUUCCGGGUGACUUCUUCUAUGUCUUCCCCCUCUAUGCAGCCAAAGAAGAUGCAGAUGGACGGCAAUGUAUCAGGAACACAGAGGUUGGAUUCUGCUACAGUCAGGACUUACUCCUGCUAAAGUCUCCUGUUGUUUACCCACACUACUUCUACAGAUGAUUAUGCAGCAUUUGAAUCCAACAAAGACUACAUUUUAGAAUCCAGUGGAAUCUUUAAUCUUGUUAAUACUUGUUAUAUGGACCCUAAGAUAUUUUAUUACAGAGUUUUUAAUUAGUGAAAAAUUCAUGAAUACCAUAGAGAAAAUAUUUUAGAAUUUAAUGUUUCUUAUAUUUAUGUAAACUUAUGACUCUUCAUUUAUAUAGUUACUUACUUUUUCAUGUAUAUCCAGGCUAUAAAUAUCCUUUCAAAUCAUGUUCUUAUACCUAAUUUUAGUCUUUCAAAUGAAUGUACUGUAAUGCUUGUAUGUAUAAAUCCUAUGAAUAGAGGGCUUUUGUAAAUUAUGCAUUUAUUGUAAUUAUCAUUAAUUUUUUAAUGAUAAACCAUGACAAAGGAUUUUACUACAUUUAUAAUAUUAUGACAGAAGCCAUGUGCAUUAUCCUUUACAGACGCAGCCUAGCUCUACAGCAAUCAUCCUGAAAUAAGCAUACCUAAUUUCAAGCAAUUGUUGUAUUUUCAUGACUGACCUUAACUGUACUUUUUCUAGCAAGAGAUGCUUUAUUCUGCAGCAUGAACAGAUUUAAAAUGGCUGGUGUUAAAUAUCAGCUCCUAAUAAGAUGUGGACUGAAAACACUAUCACAACACUAUGAGAAGCCCCUAGCACUGGUUAACGCUUUCCUAGCCUAGUCUCUGGAUUUGGGGAGCUUGUCUUCAGUGGCUGAAACCGUGAGCUGGGAGCAGUUCUCUCAGCUGGAGAGACUCGGGAUGGGGUAACCUGGGGACCAGUCUAGCCCCUGCACCCUCUUCCCUGCCUCUGCUCCUUGGGAGCGGGUGGAGAGACACCCAUGUGGCUCCCCUUAGGGCCAGCACCAAGCACCACGCUCUCAUCCUGCAAGUCGGCGCACACAGUGGAUGAAGGCAGGAGACCCAGAAAGCAGUGCAGUGCAGCUCUAAUAAAGGCCUUAUUUUUCUUAUGUAAAUCAUCUUUUUACAUUUGUUUGUAAACAUGUUUAAAGAACGAACCUAGUGGGACAUUUUUAGACUUUGAUGCUCUAGCCAUUUUGGAUUGUGUAAGUUGCAGAUGUGGCUUUUACUUUUCAAAUGGCAUAUUAACAAGCCAGCAAAGUGUGUCAGACCAUGGCGUGGUAUUUAUUGUGCAGCAGAUCCAGAGACAGAGGCAGCCUGUCUUUUCAGUUGGUUUCUGCUUUUAAUUUACUUGUACAAUUCAUUGUUACUGUUCUGUUUUUCUAUUAAUCUUUUGUCAACUUCCUGAUUAUGUAACAAAGUAUGUACAGUCUACUUUUGAACUAUUUUUAUCACAGUAUUAUUUAUUGCUUUCUUUCAAUAAAGUACUGAAGCAUUUUCCACUGCC